CCAGGGAGUGUGUUACCCACUGAUCUUCAAGGCCUCUUCUGGAGGACAUUUUCCAGCUAGCAGCAGCUUCCUGAAACACAUCCUCAGAUAAGUGACUGUGCAGCAACAAUCUUUGCCAAAUGUUUUGUGAGACAUAAGUCUUGUUUUUUCCAACAAAACUGUUUCCAAACAGAAAUGUCUGCUAUGCUCAUUUGCUCUCACGUCUCAUUUCUCUCUUUCUCCUCCCUCUCUACCUCUCUUGCUUCUUCCCUCCCUCCAUAUCUCCCCAUCUUCUGUGCCAUACUAUGCUUAUAAACGAUCAAUACUAGGGCUUCUAAAACACUAGGAUUAGUCUGGCAAGAUUGCUCAGUAGAUUUCUGCCAAGCCUUUCCAACCUGAGUUUGAUCCCUGAGAACCCCAGGGUAGGAGGAAAGAACUGACUGACCCAAGGUAUCCUCUGACUUCCACACAUGCACCAUGAUACAUCCCUCCGAUCAAACAUACACACAAAUAAAAAUGUGGUAAAUAAAAUGGUAAGUUGUCACCAAUAGUGGAAAGGAAUACAGAGGAAGAUAAGGCUUAUUUGCUUAUCCUCAAGCAUAACAACUGUACAGAUCAUUUCUCCACAGCAGAUAACUAGUCACCACCAUGUUCGGCUGUAGAAGAGAGAAAAUUCAGUUGACUGCCUGCCUUUCUCAGUAGGGUCCAUUGUCCACCAAGUUCUUUUAUUUUGUAUAGAGUUUGUAAACGUUUGAAAGUUUUUAUAACUUUGUAAACUCUUCAAAGGGUUUCGGUCAACACACACAUUGUGUCAGGAAAGGGUCAGUGCUUGGUCACGAAACUUCCUGCUGGGGAGGCAGCCCUGAAAUAUGUGCUUGAGUGUGUGGUUCUUACUAAGCACAGCUAUCGUUUUUUCUCUUCGUAUGCCGCUUCUGUUUUGUUUUUCAAGUCUCAUUUAUCCUUCGUGCACAGGUGACUUUGUCAGGGGGUGUAUUGGGCACUGACAGUGAUGUCACAAGAUGAACAAGGACCUAUGCUCCUUUUGCCUACUGCAUCCAAAACCAGAAAUUUGAAGACAUACAUUUACACCAACCACCCAUAUCCACCGACACCCUGGAUUUUGUUCUUACUGGAAGUCUUUUACUUCUGGAAUGUUAAGCACAAUCCUCAACUUCAGGAAACAGCUGCUUUUCCUUUUUGUGUAGCCAUUUAUUUAUUUAUUUAUUUGUUUGUUUGUUUGUUUGUUUGUUUAUUUAGAACAGAAUGUUGAAACAAGCUCCAAAAAGACCAACUCUGUGACCAUAUCAAUGCUAUAGGUACCUAGGGUCUGUCUGUCACUUCAGCUGGGCUCUCUCUCUCUCUCAAAGCAUUCAGCACAUUAGAGAUGAGGUAGAAAAGACAGGCACUUUGGGGACUUUGUCAUCAGGAAGUGUGGUGGCUUAUUCUUAGUACACCAGCACACUCAGGACUCGGCCUUUGGAACUCACAGAUGAGGUUUAUCUGGAUGUUUGUAAGUAUGAUGGGACAAUCUGAUACUUGGAUUUACCCUCUUAGUUUGCUUCACUUUUAGGGUUAUUCUGACUGUUCAGUGCCAUUGUCAAGACUACAAAAUUCAAAACAGUUGAAGCAACUAAUAAGUUAGGAAAACUCUGAUUGAGUUUCCUGAGGAGUCCACAAGCAUCCUACAGGUUAAUUGAAUUUUUAUAGAUUAAUUCUCUGUUCUGGAUUUGAAGUGGCCUUUCGGUGUCCAAACCAGUGAUGGGCGAAAUGAAAAACCCUAAAUUAGAUAGAUCAUCUCUGCAUCAUCCUGAAGAUCACAGUGCUCCAUCAGAAGACAGGAACUGGUUGGGGAAGAGACAGAGUGGAGUUCCUGGGGCAUUUGAGAGCAUUGGUCUAUGUCUGGGGGUGAGGCUGGUUGGGUAUAUGCACAGGAGUACAGUGACUAUAGAACACAGAAAAGGUGUCAGGUUCCCUGAAGCUGGAGUGGCCGAUGGUUGUGAUGUGGGUGCUGCGACUCAACUCGGCUCUUCUGGAAAGCCAUCUGCUAAGCCAUUUCUCCACUCUCUACUCUCCAGCUGUGCUUCAUCAUUUUUCGAUUGACAGAAGGUAAUGAUGUAAGGUUGAACUGACAAGAGAUUGUUUGAUCAUUCCUCACCUGGCUCUCCUGCAAUUUAGAGCCUUGAGAUACAGACUUUCUCAUUAAAUAAGAACCUUUGACUUCGAAAACAAACCGCUUGGAAAAGCCAUAAUGGGAUCAACCCCCAGCCCAUAACGCCCAGAGACCUGAAGACAACACUGAAUCUCCAGUUUCCUGUUCCUCUCUGUUCUCUACCUGCUUCAAGGUCUUCCCUUCCAUUCUCCCCUGGGCAGAGCCGGGCAUAAAAAGUGAUCCUUUCUCCCAGAGACUGUUUUCUCAAUGUUGGAGGUCAAACUAGAUCAGCUCCACUCCACUUUCUUCUGCCACUUUACUGAAGAGAACUGGAAAGACUGUGGAAGAGACAGAGGGCAGCUCUGGUAUCUUCACUUCACUCAGAGUCUUGUCUUUAGGACAUUUGCCUUGUUUUUUUUUUUCCCUCUGGCCAGUGAAUAUUAGAGAUUUUCUCAAUGAAGAUUGGAGCAUUUGAUGAGAGAGCCACUAAUAAAUGAGGCAGCAUAAUAAAUCAGAAUGGGGCUUCUUUUUCAAAAAGUACCCUUUCAUGUCCUAUGCAAAUAAGAUCUGCUCUCUGGUUUUUAAGAGAGAGAGGAGCUCAUAUUAAUCCUCUGUUCAGCGCCAAGCAUAAAACUUAGAGAUUUGCAUAAAUAGCUAUCAUUUCGAUUUUCUCAACAACCAUAAUAAUAAGUUUGCCAACAUUUAUCCAGCUCUAAUUAUAUGUCAGGACCUCCGUUAAUAGAUUUACUUGAGUUAUCUAAUUACAGCCUCCCAAUCACACAUAAUAUAGGUACUCUCAUAUUAUCUUUGUUUUGCAGAUAUGAAGAAAACAUACAAAGAAGUUAACCAGCUUGCCCACAAAACCAUAAUUAAUAAAACAGGUCUGAGGUUUCUCUUUGGGGCCAAAUGAAUCCGUGUCCAAACACAUAGGUAAUAUGUUGACCUUGGGCUGUUUAAAAUGCUUGUUAAUGAUACUGGUCCAAGUACACUGUCUAAAAAUCCAGCUUGAAAACAGAAAAAGUCAACCUGGAAAAUGCACCUCUCUUUAUUGUUAAUUCAAGGCCCCGUGAUCCAGAUUGCCGUAGUUUCAUUUCUGUGACUGUGAUAAAAUACCCUGACAGAAGUAACUUAUGGGGGCAGAGGGAUUAUUGCAGUUUUCAAUUCUAUAUUACAGUCCAUCACUGAGAGAUGUCAAGGCAGGAACUUAAGACAACUAGUCACAUCACAUCCACAGUCAAGAACAGGGAAAUGAGUGCAAAUACCCUUACUUACUUGCUUUGCUUGUGCUCAGCUUGAACUUUCCACGUCUAUACCAUUUAGAUAUAUACCAACAUAGGGAAUGGUGCUUCCCAUCGUAAACUAGGUCUUCCCACAACAAUGAAUUCAAUUAAAACAACUCCUUACAGACACAUUCAAAGACUGUCUUAGUUAGUGUUCUACAUCUGUGAAAAGAUACCAUGACCAGGGCAACUCUUACAAAGGAAUGCAUUUAAUUGAGGCUUGUUUACAGUUUCAGAGGUUUAGUUCAUUGUCAUCAUGGCUGGGAUCAUGGUGGUAUGCAUGCAGACAUGGUGAAACACCACAAGAGCUAAUCAAAUUUAAAUAAUCCCUCACUGAGACUUUCUUCCCAGGCGAUUUUAUAUUGUGUCAAGUUGACAAAGCUAAGCAUGGUAUGCGUACUUUUCACUGCACUGCUUGAGAUUAGGACACAAUUUCCAACAAUUUCUAAAAUGGCCAGAAACAUUUUUUUGUGUGGUUUUGUAGUAUGUAUUUAUGCAAAGCGACAUUCUCAGAAUCAGUGGUUACAAAGUCAAAAUAUCAGUCAACUGAAAAAUGUUGAAGACAGUUUGUGUCCUGUAGUAACAAUUGUUCAACCAAGAUUUAAUUAUUUAUCAUGAAAUAAGAAAGCAAUGCAUGCCAUUAGUAGGAAAAUUUAUUUAGUCUUUAAUCAAUGUUAAGACUAUAUGUGUA